rnacentral:tRNA from 1 species
GGGUGAUUAGAUCAGCUGGGAGAGCAUCUGCCUUACAAGCAGAGGUUCGGCGGUUCGAUCCCGUCAUCACCCACCA